rnacentral:rRNA from 1 species
AGUGAACGCUGGCGGUAGGCCUAACACAUGCAAGUCGAACGGCAGCACAGGAGAGCUUGCUCUCUGGGUGGCGAGUGGCGGACGGGUGGGGAAUACAUCGGAAUCUACUUUUUCGUGGGGGAUAACGUAGGGAAACUUACGCUAAUACCGCAUACGACCUACGGGUGAAAGCAGGGGAUCUUCGGACCUUGCGCGAUUGAAUGAGCCGAUGUCGGAUUAGCUAGUUGGCGGGGUAAAGGCCCACCAAGGCGACGAUCCGUAGCUGGUCUGAGAGGAUGAUCAGCCACACUGGAACUGAGACACGGUCCAGACUCCUACGGGAGGCAGCAGUGGGGAAUAUUGGACAAUGGGCGAAAGCCUGAUCCAGCCAUACCGCGUGGGUGAAGAAGGCCUUCGGGUUGUAAAGCCCUUUUGUUGGGAAAGAAAUCCAUCUGGUUAAUACCCGGGUGGGAUGACGGUACCCAAAGAAUAAGCACCGGCUAACUUCGUGCCAGCCGCCGCCGUAA